GUUACUUUAGUGUUCUAUAAUAGGAUACCCAAAAGACUUUUAUCCUUCUUUUGACUUGGAUUCUACAGAAAUGCUAGAGCAGUCUUUCCUCACCCUAGCAAAAUCUCUUACUUUCUCAUCCUUCAUUAUCAAACUUUGAACUUAUACUGUUCAACCAGCUCCUAAGAAGCUUGUAGUCAGAUUUUAAUGCCUUUUCUCUUUAUCAUCCUCUUCUAACUGUAACAUUUUUUUUCCUGGGUCAGGUAUAAUCUUAGAAAUACCUUAAUAUUCUUUGUAUUAUCUCCCAUUAUCCCUGGUUUGCCUUGCACAUGUUAUUUAGAAUAGUGAUCUCCUAACCUCACAUUUUCUGCUUAAUUUCAUUGAAUAUUCAUUAAGUACAGUUUCCCCAUUCCCUCAAGUUCAUUAGUUUUCCAUUGCCUACUCUCAUUCUUCCAGUUUCAUGUUUUGUCUAAGAUAAUAAAUAAAACUGAAUACCUGUCUUUUUUUUUUAUCCCAGCUCUCUUUGCAGUUAGCCCAUUAAAUACUGGCAGUUGAACCCAGGGGUGCUUUCCACUGAGCUGUACCUUCAGUCCUUUUUAUUUUUUGAAGGGUCUGACUAAUUUUCUGAGGCUGGCUUUGAACUUCCCGUCUUCCUGUCUUG
rnacentral:lncRNA from 1 species